AUGGGUGUUACAAGAGUAAAGGUUUAUCUAAUGAGGCCUUGUCGCGGCGCUGCAAGUGUUGCCCCCCUCCUCCCCAAGGGUAAGGUGAAGGAAGGUGCCUGUGUGGUUCUUCUGCAGCUCGCAGCGAGGAUUGCUGUGUCCAACCUGCACAAGAAUGCCAAGAAGUCCUUCUCGGAGACGAUUAAGGACAUGUACCUGCACUACAACGAGAGAUCUGGACUGCUUCUUUGUGGCUUCCAAACUUGA
rnacentral:rRNA from 1 species